rnacentral:lncRNA from 1 species
CUGCAGUCUGAAGCUUCCCCACCCUCCACAAAAAAGAGAGGAAGCCAGGGAGAGACAAAAGGAAGGACAAAGAACAGAGCGUUCUUUUUCUGACAAAGGGUGAAAUGACAAGGAACAUCAGGCUGAAUUCUCUUCCCCUGGAAGCACAGAAAUCAC